AGAGAGAGAGAGAGAGAGAGAGAGGAGGGCAAUAGCCUUUGGAUAGGUUCAGUCAACAAGACCAAAUGCUUAACAAGAAGCAAUUAGGAAACAAAUACAAGUGAUGACCACAUAACCAUCAUUCUCCUUGUUUGAAGUUGGAAACAGAACGAAGAACAAUGACCCCACAUCACUUGCGUAUUGAAACAAAAUUUGUGAGUUCGAAAAACA
rnacentral:misc_RNA from 1 species